GGUCACUAGGGUGGGCCUUAACCCAAGAAAACCGGUGUCCCUCUCAAGAGAGCAGAAGACAGACACACAGAGACAAGGCAGCGGCCAGCGGAGCAGCCAUGAGCCAGGGAGCACUGGGGCACCAGAGGCUGAGCGUGGCAGGGAGGAGCCUCCCAAGGCUACCGAGGGAGCACGGCCUGCAGACACCUCGAGAUGGGCCUUCCAGACUCCAGAACUGGCUGCUGGAAAGAUCUGCUGGCAGCCAGCUCAGCAGCGGAUAGGUUAGGAUGGCCGGACAGUGAUCGGUGAUGUGGCUUCAGCAAAAUGUGAACUUGGCUGCCUUUUCUUCAAAUCUGCAAAACAGAAACCAUGAAAUCUCUCCUUUUUCUCAAGAAAUGUGUAUAAAAUAAAUAUAGCAAGUUCAUAAUUUUCAUUAAACAUUUAAGUCCCUCAGAAAGAGUAGAUGAAUCCCUGGUUUCCACAGUGAGGACAAAGCUGAGAAAUAAGUUGGUCACUUGGGAUCUGUGAAGUCUGGGCUGGACAGACACUGAAUUAGGUGCCUGAGACCUAGAAGUAGACACAGCAGCUCUGGGCCGUGAGCAGCCGUGAGCAGCCGUGAGCAGCCAUGAGCAGCCAGCUUUGUGCUCCCAGGAGACCCUGGCUCUGAAGAACCAGAAGGCAACAGGUUUCUCUUGGGGAGGUCAUUCUCCAGGCCAAGGAGAGGCUGCCUGGCUUUUUCGUGGAGACUGCGUAUAACAGAAAUACUCCUCCUGGGCCGGUGUUCUAGGAGGGCCAAAGGCAAGUCCCUUCCUCCUACUCGGACCUAGGAGCCCCCACCUGAUGUGACUCAUGCCUGAGGCGGACGCCAGCAGCCUCUCCAGGCAUCCGAAGACAUUUGGGGGGUCCACUUCCCAGGAGCAGCCCCUCCAGCGCCUCUCUCGGCCUGUGUGAUGUUUUCUGAAGAAAGAUGCCUUUUGAUCUAAGGGCGGGGGCGCUGAGAUCUCUCCAUGUCCUCCUUCCAGCCACCUCUGCUCUCUCUCUGCAUCCUGGUGCAGAGCUGUGGGCACCGCGUGGCAUUGGUCAACUGGCAGGGAGCAUCCACUCACAAGAGCAUCUAGACCUGUUGGUCCAUCUCCACUUGGUCAUUCCAUGGGAAGCACCCACUCACUAGAUGUACUAUUCCGUUUUAAUGCUGCUGAUAAAAAUAUGCCUGAGACUGGGAGGAAAAUGAAGUUUAAUUGGACUUACAGUUCAUCAUGGCUGGGGAGCCUCAGAAUCAUGGCAGGAGGUGAAAGACAUUUCUUACAUGGUGGCAGCAAGAGAAAAAUGAGGAAGAAGCAAAAGCAGAAACCCCUAAUAAACCCAUUAGGUCUUGUGA